UGUUGUCUAAGCACUCCUAA
rnacentral:snRNA from 1 species